rnacentral:rRNA from 1 species
CCUACGGGGGGCUGCAGUCGAGAAUCAUUCACAAUGGGGGAAACCCUGAUGGUGCGACGCCGCGUGGGGGAAUGAAGGUCUUCGGAUUGUAAACCCCUGUCAUGUGGGAGCAAAUUAAAAAGAUAGUACCACAAGAGGAAGAGACGGCUAACUCUGUGCCAGCAGCCGCGGUAAUACAGAGGUCUCAAGCGUUGUUCGGAAUCACUGGGCGUAAAGCGUGCGUAGGCUGUUUCGUAAGUCGUGUGUGAAAGGCCCGGGCUCAACCCGCGGACGGCACAUGAUACUGCGAGACUAGAGUAAUGGAGGGGGAACCGGAAUUCUAGGUGUAGCAGUGAAAUGCGUAGAUAUCGAGAGGAACACUCGUGGCGAAGGCGGGUUCCUGGACAUUAACUGACGCUGAGGAACGAAGGCCAGGGGAGCGAAAGGGAUUAGAUACCCGGGUAGUC